rnacentral:rRNA from 1 species
CAUACCCCAAAGUCAGGGAUAAUCCGUCGAAAGGCGGGAUAAUACUUGAUAGUCUCUUCGGAGUAAAAAUUUAUUGCUUUGGGAAUGGCCUGCGUUCUAUCAGCUUGUUGGUAAGGUAACGGCUUACCAAGGCUAUGACGGAUAGGGGAGGUGAGAGCCUGACCCCCACCGAUGGAACUGCGACACGGUCCAUACUCCUACGGGAGGCCGCAGUCGAGAAUCUUCCGCAAUGGACGAAAGUCUGACGGAGCGACGCCGCGUGGUGGAUGAAGCCCUUGGGGGCGUAAACACCUUUUAUGGAGGAGGAAUUUUAUUGACGUUACUCCAUGAAUAAGGGGCUCCCAAUUCUGUGCCAGCAGGAGCGGUAAUACAGAAGCCUCAAGCGUUACCCGGAUUCACUGGGCGUAAAGGGUUCGUAGGCGGUUAUAUUAGUCGGACGUUAAAUCCUGAGGCUCAACCUCAGGCUCGCGUUCGAAACGGUAUAACUAGAAGAAGUGAGAGGUGAACAGAACUCAUGGUGUAGGGGUGAAAUCCGUUGAUAUCAUGGGGAAUACCAAAUGCGAAGGCAGUUCACUGGCACUUUCUUGACGCUGAGGAACGAAAGCGUGGGUAGCGAACGGGAUUAGAUACCCCGGUAGUCCACGCCCUAAACGCUGUCCGCUGGUUUUUGGAGGAAUCGACCCUUUCAGAGACGAAGCUAACGCAUUAAGCGGACCGCCUGGGUAGUACGAGCGCAAGCUUAAAACUCAAAGGAAUUGACGG